rnacentral:snoRNA from 1 species
GGCCUGUGAUGCCUCAAAUUGUCCGUACCAUCUGAGAUCUCUUACAGAUUCUUUGAUGUGYUCUUCAUCUCUAGCUUUCUGAGGCCA